UGGGGAAUAUUGGACAAUGGGCGAAAGCCUGAUCCAGCCAUGCCGCGUGUGUGAAGAAGGUCUUCGGAUUGUAAAGCACUUUAAGUUGGGAGGAAGGGCAGUAAGCGAAUACCUUGCUGUUUUGACGUUACCGACAGAAUAAGCACCGGCUAACUCUGUGCCAGCAGCCGCGGUAAUACAGAGGGUGCAAGCGUUAAUCGGAAUUACUGGGCGUAAAGCGCGCGUAGGUGGUUCGUUAAGUUGAAUGUGAAAGCCCCGGGCUCAACCUGGGAACUGCAUCCAAAACUGGCGAGCUGGAGUAGGGCAGAGGGUGGUGGAAUUUCCUGUGUAGCGGAGAAAUGCGUAGAUAUAGGAAGGAACACCAGUGGCGAAGGCGACCACCUGGGCUCAUACUGACACUGAGGUGCGAAAGCGUGGGGAGCAAACAGG
rnacentral:rRNA from 1 species